GUUGCACGUCGUCGCGCAUCGCUGUUCGUCGCCCACCCGUCGUGUCUCCUCGUGCUUCACCGAGGCAGUACGGUCGCACCGACGACAAUCAGAGGACGUUUCCUGGUGUCGCGUAUAUAUGUGCGCGUGUUCCGCCAUGCCGUCGUGCCGGCAGCUCGCGAUAAACAACGUUCUGCACUCGAGUGUUCGCCGGCGCGUCGAGUCACUCUCGACGAGAUGAUCCGUCGGCAACCAGUCGUACUGUCGACCACAUCGACGUGAACGUUGCCGCGGAGGUGGUGGCGGGCAUCAUCGUACGGAACAGUUAUCGCGAUGCUUUUACCGAGAUACCGAUGAUAUCAUUCGCAGGAUAUUAUUCGCGACGCGCGAUCGACCGAGCACCGUGUUUGUAAAUUACGGAUUUAGUGGUGUUUGUCGUGAAAAUGUCGAAGUGGACUGUACCGCACGCGAUCCGCCGUAGAUCAAAGACACAAGCUGCAUGUCGCACAGCAGAAAAGUGACUCUAGGCGCAAAGCAAGCAGUAUUGAAUGUGUUGAAGUGUGUUUUUGUUUUGCAGUGAGAGAUGCUUUGUCGUUACAUUUGAGAAAAAAAAAAAAAAAAAAAAAAAAAAAAAAAAAAAAAUCGCACGCAUGCUGCGCUCAUCAAAACGCCACCUGUCGGUAACCGGAACCGAACGGGCCAGUAUUCAUGCCAGUAUGCCAAUCGAAACGCCGGUAGACGACCAAUAUCUGCGUUUACCGAUAGCCAAUUAAUAAGUUACUUAGCUAGAUUAAUUUGUAGUCAAUAAUAUUUCCGGCUGAAGAGAUAAUAAUCGCCGGCUAAAAUCGCGACUACAUAGUGAUUAGAAAUACAGUUGCGCGUAGAUUUGCACUGUUUCGCACGCUCAUAAGCAAUAAAAAAUAAAAAAAAAAUAAAAAAAAUAAAAAAAUAAAAAAAAAGAUAAACAUCGGUUUAUCGUAGUUCUCUCAACGACAAUAAUUUUUGACAUCCUCUUAUACGUUGUCGAAUUGAGGCAAAAAACAAAAAAGAAAACGAAGAAAAAAGGAACCCGGUGAAUUUAUAGUAAAGUGUGAUCGACUGUUUUUCUUUCGCGGCUGUCGAGUGCGACGAAGAACGGUCUGCGACGCAGAAGUGGAAGCGGACACCACCCCGGCGAUCAUCACGGUGGCUGGAAACGCUGACUUACAUCAGGAGCGCCAACCUGCAAUCAAGGUUCAUGGUUUUCAUGGAGGAGAGCGAGCUCUCGAGCAAGCGGUGGGCCAGCGCGCCCCGCCG